GUUUAGAGCACUAUCAAGGUCUUGGUUCAAAUCUGGCCUUGGACACUUACUAGCUGUGUGACACUGGGCAAGUCACUUAACCAGUGUCUGCCUCAGUUUCCUCAUCUGUAAAGUGGGGGUAGGACCUACCCCACAGAGUUGUGAGGAUCAAAU
rnacentral:snoRNA from 1 species